UACGUAGGUGGCGAGCGUUGUCCGGAUUUACUGGGUGUAAAGGGUGCGUAGGCGGGCAUAUAAGUCAGAUGUGAAAUACCGAGGCUUAACUUCGGGGCUGCAUUUGAUACUGUAUGUCUUGAGUGUCGGAGAGGAGAGUGGAAUUCCCAGUGUAGAGGCGAAAUUCGUAGAUAUUGGGAAGAACACCGGUGGCGAAGGCGGCUCUCUGGACCGUAACUGACGCUGAGGCGCGAAAGCGUGGGGAGCAAACAGG
rnacentral:rRNA from 1 species